UAAUGUUUGUAAGCCUGGCUUGCACAGAUAAAUGUCAAAAUAUUAAAAAAUUCGAUAUAUGUAUGAACUUUGAAUAUUCUUUCUUUCUUUUACAAUGAAUAGGUUUGAAUAUGCCAAUCCUCGGCUUUUACCUAAUGAAUUGAACGUCAGACGCGAUUUUGGUGUACGUUUGUAUGAUGGAGACGUUAAGACACAAUUUGAAGGUGGACAAUUGUAUAUUACGACUCACCGAGCACUUUGGGGAAGACCAGACGAUAUACCACGAGGUAACACUUGCCUCUCGUUACCUUUAAGAUAUGUAGUUUUCCACGAAGAGGAAUCUCCAGGUCCAUUUUCUUUUAGACGUAACAAUAAAGUUAUUUUACAUCUCUCUGAACCGUCUCCUGAUAAAAUGCCUGGACCAGCAGAGAACAGUGCCUUUAAUUAUAUUAAAUUAUCAUUCAAAGAAGGUCUGGAUUCAAAUUUUAUAAUAGAAUUAAGAGAUGUACUUAGAAAAAGAACCUGGGAAUCGGAUCCUCCUAUUCCUUAUCAAUUAACCGAUAUGAAUAUUCAAAGUUUGCGCGUUACACCUAAACCACUACCAGUGAUAAAACCACGAACGGGUAUCAUAGGUAUUGAAAGAAGUCUGCAAGAACAACAAAAGGCAACGGAUGAGAGUAUUUCUAAGGCAUUCCAAGAUCUUAAGAAGCUUAUGGAAAUGGCUAAAGAUAUGGUGACCAUAUCUAAAACCAUCUCUGCAAAAAUAAGGGAGAGACAAGGAGACAUCACGGAGGAUGAGACUGUUAGAUUUAAGUCUUAUUUGAUGAGUCUAGGUAUCGAUGAUCCUGUAACGAGAGAUGCUUACAAAAGUAGUAAUGAAUAUUUUAAACAAUUAGCUAUGCAACUUGCACUUAUUCUAGAAGAACCAAUCAAGGAAGUAGGUGGAAUGAUGACACUGACCGAUGUUUAUUGUCGUGUUAAUCGAGCUAGAGGAUUGGAACUUUUGUCUCCGGAAGAUUUAUUAAACGCUAGCAGACAAUUAGUAUCUCUGAGCUUACCUAUAGUGCUAAGGGUUUUUGACAGUGGCGUUAUGGUUCUUCAAAUUCGAUCUCACGAUGAUCUUGCAGUUGCAGAUUCUAUAGCCGAUUUAUUACAGGAAAGAGGUUCGAUAACUGCGGAGGAACUUGCACGAUCUGAAGGAAUAUCUGUAUUAUUAGCACGAGAAAGAUUAUUAGUUACUGAGAAACAUGGAAGAGCUUGCAGAGACGAUACGAUAGAAGCAUUAAGAUUUUAUCCAAAUUUAUUUUUAGAAGAAAACGCGUAACGCUUAACCAAUUUUGUAUUAUCACUGGCAUCAUGGAAUUAUAAGGAAACGCAACCGCCUCUAUUAUUAUUAAUACUAUUAUUAUUAUUAUUAUUAUUAUUAUCUUAUUAAGUAUUUGUAUAUUUCUCGUGCCUUUAUAAGUCGUGCACAGUUAAGUCCAAUGCAAAGAUAAAAAGAAAAGGAAAACAAUUUCUAUCGUCCUCGCAGCGUGUACAACGUAGCUUGUUGCAAAACGAAGAAAUACUACAACAUUUUCGGCUUCUGACUCAUUGGUAUCCCAUUUAAACUAUGAUAGAGAGGGAGAGAGAGAGAAAGAGAGAGAAACAGGAACUAACUACAUGGCACGUAUUAACGAGCGUCAUGUAAACACAUAUACAUGUACAAUAAUGUAACCUUGAUGAGAUCGGCAAAAUGUCAAGGCUAAAAUGAAAUCUCUCUUUUCUUACUGAAAUGUAUAAUUUAUACAGACGAUAAAAAACAAGUGAAUAUAAUUACAUUGUUUAAUAACUAAGAGUGCAAGUAUUAUUAAUCUUCCAACAUAGUCACACAUGGACAUGUGAUCAUUAAGGAUUAUUCUUUCUCUUUCUUUACUGGUGCCAAUAAUUAAAAAAAUAAGAUUUUUCUUAACCAGUUAAUUAGCAUGUCGACUAAUGUCAUUCUAUAAAUAUCAUACUCUCCUACAGGUUUUCAUAUAAAAAUA